rnacentral:rRNA from 1 species
GAUGAACGCUAGCUACAGGCUUAACACAUGCAAGUCGAGGGGCAGCAUGACACGGAGAUUCGUCGAAGUGUUGAUGGCGACCGGCGCAAGGGUGCGUAACGCGUGAGCAACUUGCCCGUUUCUGGGGAAUAACCGGUGGAAACGCCGACUAAUACCCCAUAGUAUAACGAAGAGGCAUCUUUUUGUUAUUAAAGAAUUUCGGAAACGGAUAGGCUCGCGUGACAUUAGCUAGAUGGCGGGGUAACGGCCCACCAUGGCGACGAUGUCUAGGGGUUCUGAGAGGAAGGUCCCCCACACUGGAACUGAGACACGGUCCAGACUCCUACGGGAGGCAGCAGUGAGGAAUAUUGGUCAAUGGUCUGACGACUGAACCAGCCAUGCCGCGUGAAGGUGACGGCCCUAUGGGUCUUAAACUUCUUUUGCAAGGGAGCAAUAAGGCGUACGUGUACGUCGAUGAGAGUACCUUGCGAAUAAGCAUCGGCUAACUCCGUGCCAGCAGCCG